rnacentral:rRNA from 1 species
CCUACGGGUGGCAGCAGUGAGGAAUAUUGGUCAAUGGGCGCGAGCCUGAACCAGCCAAGUCGCGUGAGGGAAGACGGUCCUAUGGAUUGUAAACCUCUUUUGUCGGGGAGCAAAAGACGCCACGCGUGGCGUUCCGAGAGUACCCGAAGAAAAAGCAUCGGCUAACUCCGUGCCAGCAGCCGCGGUAAUACGGGGGAUGCGAGCGUUAUCCGAAUUUAUUGGGUUUGAAGGGUGCGCAGGCGGAAGAUCAAGUCAGCGGUAAAAUUGAGAGGUUCAACCUCGUCGAGCUGUUGAAACUGGUUUGCUUGAGUGAGCGAGAGGUAUGCGGAAUGCCGGGUGUAGCGGUGAAAUGCAUAGAGAUCACGCAGAACUCCGAUUGCGAAGGCAGCAUACCGGCGCUCAACUGACGCUCAUGCACGAAAGUGUGGGUAUCGAACAGGAUUAGAUACCCCUGUAGUC